UCGCUCAUUUUCGACACGGGCAGCGACCUCACUUGGACCCAAUGUAGACCAUGUGUAAAAUCUUGUUACAAACAGAAAGAGCCCAUCUUCGACCCUUCUCUCUCCGCCUCCUACGCCAACGUCUCCUGCACCUCCGCCACGUGCACUCAGCUGGGUUCGGCCACUGGAAACACCCCCGGCUGCACCGCCUCCACGUCCACCUGCAUCUACGGCAUCCAGUACGGCGAUCAGUCGUUCUCCGUCGGCUACUUCGGCAAGGAGAAGCUGAGCUUGACGAACACAGACGUGUUUGAUGGGUUUCUGUUCGGGUGUGGCCAGAACAACCAAGGCCUUUUCGGCGGCGCUGCCGGUUUGCUCGGUCUCGGCCGAAACCAAAUCUCCCUUGUGGAACAAUCGGCUAAAAAAUACAACCGGUUCUUCUCCUACUGCCUCCCUUCCACCUCGAGCUCCACCGGCUACCUCAGCUUCGGCAAAGGCGGCGGAUCUUCCAACGCCGUCAAGUUCACGGCCCUCUCCACCGUCUCCCAAGGCGACUCGUUUUACGGCCUCAACGUCGUCGGGAUCAACGUCGGCGGGACUAAAUUGCCGAUUUCGGCUUCGGUCUUUUCGUCUUCGGGAACGAUCAUAGAUUCCGGAACGGUGAUCACGCGGCUGCCGCCGACGGCGUACAGCUCGUUGAAGGCGGCGUUUCGUCAGAGGAUGAAGAGCUAUCCGCUGACUCAGGAGCUCUCGAUACUCGACACUUGCUACGACUUCAGCAGCUUCAAAACGGUGUCGUAUCCGAAGAUUUCGUUCGUGUUUGACGGCGGGCUUACGCAGGACUUGGACGCGACGGGGAUACUGUACGUGGCGAGCGCGGAUCAGGUUUGCCUGGCGUUUGCAGGGAAUGGGGACGAUAGCGACAUUGGGAUUUUUGGGAACGUUCAGCAGAAGAGGCUGCAGGUGGUGUAUGAUAUUGCUGGUGGAAAGGUCGGAUUUGCCCCUGCAGCAUGCCCCUGAGCUAUGGCUAUAUUAUUAUGCAAUGCAUGCAGCUACCCAGCUUUGCUAAUGAAGAAGACAAUCUUGGAGUUAGCACAAAUGGGGCUGUUAUAUUAAUAUAAAGACUACUUAAUUAAGGCUAGUUUUAAAUUAGCUUAAUUAAGCUAGCUAAUUAACCCAUUGUUGAUUGAAGAAGAUGAUCAUCAAUUGGUAUAAAAGUAUAGUUGUGAUACAUAUAGACUAAUUGGAACAAGCUAUAGUGACAAUUGGUUUGUGUGUUGGUGUAAUAGCUAGCUAAAGAAUGGAAAGUAUGCAAUGCAAGUUGUACAUAAAUAAAACAAUGUUGGAUUAUUUAGCUAAUUUCGGGCAUGCAAAAUAGGAUGAAUCUCUCUUAAUUUGGUCUUGCCUCAAACGAAAUGCCCAAUUAAGAAUCAAGGAUUGAUUGGUGUUAAUGGGGUCUAGUUCAGUGAAAAAUGGUAUUGAUUUGAAUACUAGAGGUCUCAGCUUUCGAAUUCCCAUAACAUCAUUUGUGUGUAUGUAUAUGAGUAUUUUUGAACUACUCCAAAAAGAAUGAUGGUUAUUGGAUCAUUUACCAAUCUGAGUCUGAUAGACUCUAUAUUUAUUUUAUAUUUUCCAUAUAAGUAAGAUUAUAAAAAAGUGAAUUCCAUUAUAGAGCCGUGUGCAAAAGAAAAUGCAUGUACGGUUGUAGACUAUCGCUUAUACUAAAAAAAUCAAUUGGUAAAAAAAAUCUUGAGGUUCUUGGUCUGUAAACCGACUUGGUGAGUGAGUGGACAAUCAAAGCCCAGACUUGUCGUUACUUUGAGUUUGUUUGACCGGUAUUGGUAGGCCAAUAAGCCCAAUAUACAAAAAUAUAAAAAUGAAAAACUCUUGAUUAAUUUAAUAAUGUUACCUUAAAGUCUGUUGACUUAUUGACUUUGAAAAUGGCAUAUGAUGAUAAUAUGCGCAACAGGCGCAUGGAUAGUUCCAAAUUUAUGUUUGGUGUAGUUUGAAAAAUGCCACCGUGGAUACAAAUUACAAUGACAAGACGCUGAAAUGGCGCCAUGACAUUGAUCACCAACAGGAACGUCUUCUAUACUUUCCAGACACCAAGUCCUCUGCGCUUUAAUCACAAUAUUGACAGGUGAUGGAUAAUUAAUUAAACGACUAUAAUGUUAAAAAAAAAAAUAUUGCAUUUGUUUAUUUUGUAGGUCAUAAUUAUAUGUUUUAAUAAUUUUUAAAUUGUCUAAUAUUUUGUAAAUAUUAUCUAUAAAUUACGACUCACUCGGUUGAAAUAUAAUUUAUCAAUUAGUUGGAGUCUACAGAGACUUGACCAAUUAGUUGUCAAUUAUGAAUUGAAAACUAUACGUCUCAUCACUAAAUGCUUGGAAAUUAAGGCCAAUAAACCCGGUGGACAUCCAUGUCUCCAAUUAGCCUAUAUAAGGCCAAGAGUAUGCUUACAUUACAGCAGCAACUCAAUAAUCUAGAGGCAAUCUUGUUAAUUAUUCAUGGCAACUCCCAUGAUUUCUAGCUCCUCCUUCCUUAGGUUUUUCAUGGCUUUCUUCUCUGUAUUUCUAUGCCUAAUUCUCUGCUCUUUCGAGAACGGAUUUGCUUUGGCAGCAAGAGAUACAAAACCCCACCUUAUGCCACAUACCACUCACACAGUUGAAGUAAACUCUCUUCUACCAGCAACCACCUGCAGCCCCUCCACCAAAGGUUAAUUCAUCCCAUAUUAUAUAUAUAAUUUAAUUUCAAUGCAUUUAUGUAUCUCUAACACACACACACACUCUCUCUCUCUCUCUCUAUGCAUACAUGUUUCGAUGAUCUCAGGUCAUAACAAUAACAAGGCAUCAUCGGUAUUGAAAGUGGUGCACAAACAUGGGCCAUGCUCCAAAUUCCACAAAUCAUCAAAAACUUCAACCACAACUAGUGAUGAAAAAUACCAUGCUCAAAUCCUCGAGCAAGACCAGGCCCGAGUCAACUCAAUCCACUCCCGCCUCAACCACAACAACAACAAAGACCCACUCACCCAAUCCGCCGCCACCACCCUCCCCGCCAAGUCUGGUAUCGUUAUCGGCUCAGGGAACUACAUUGUCACCGUCAGCCUCGGUACACCAGCCAAGCAACUCUCCCUCGUCUUCGACACUGGCAGCGACCUCACCUGGACCCAAUGCCAGCCAUGUCCUACUACUCGGUCUUGUUACAAACAGACUGAGCCCAUCUUCAACCCUUCUCUCUCCGCCUCAUACAAAAAGAUCCCAUGUACCACCGCCGCGUGUACUCAGCUCCCAUCCUCCGGCCUCGAACAAAGCUGCUCCGCCUCCACCUGCCUUUACAUCGCCGUUUACGGUGACAACUCCUUCUCUAAAGGGGUAUUUGGCAGCGAAAAGCUUACAUUGACCCCUACGGACGUUUUUGAAAGUUUCCUCUUCGGCUGCGGCCUAGACAACGGAGGCCUAUUCAGAGGAUCCGCCGGUUUGCUAGGUCUCGGCCGGAGCAGCAUCUCCUUCGUCGAGCAAACCGCCAAUAAAUACAACCGGUUCUUCUCCUACUGCCUCCCGUCGACUUCCAGCUCCACCGGUCACCUCACCUUCGGUGACGGAGGCUCUCCUAACGGCGUUAAGUUCACGAAGCUCAUCACGUCAUCCCAAAGCGAGUCGUUUUACGGCCUCGGCCUCGCCGGCAUCAAAGUCGGUGGGAGCCAGCUGUCGAUUGCGCCCUCGGUCUUUUCGUCUUCUGGAACGAUCAUCGACUCGGGGACGGUGAUCACGAGGUUGCCGGCGACGGCAUACGCAGUGUUGCGGGGCGCGUUUCGGGAGGCGAUGAAGAACUACACACUGACUAAUGGCGAUUCGUUGCUGGACACGUGUUACGAUUUCAGCGGCUUGAACACGGUGUCAUAUCCGAAGAUAGCGUUUGUGUUUGGGGAUGGACUUACGGUGGACUUGGACGCGACCGGGAUAUUGUUUCCGAUAAGUCCUUCGCACGUUUGCUUGGCGUUUGCCGGAAACAAGGAUGAUAGAGACGUCGGGAUUAUUGGGAAUCUUCAACAGAAGAGGUUGGAGGUUGUGUAUGACGUGGCCGGAGGAAAAGUCGGAUUUGCCCCUGCAGGUUGCGAUUGAGUAAUGACGUCGUCCAUGGGUAUAAGUGUAAUACAAACAGCUUGCUAGCUAUAGAAUAAAGCAUUGGGUUACAUAUUUGUGUGUAAUGUUUGUCUGUUGUAAGUCGGUGUCUCCUGUUUUUCUUUUUUGGGUUCUUAUUCUUAAGGGAAAUACCCAUGUAAUUCUUAUUUUCUAGAUAUAAAUUUAACUAUUUCUAAAUAUUUAAGAUAAGUCUUAAACCCAAAUUCCAAAUAUGCUGUCAUUUAAGAUAAUAUAUAUUUGUCCUAGUAUUAUCAGUUAAAUUACAAUAUGUGCCAUUAACCUUCAUCAAUUCCUUCCUUUGUUUGCAACUAAAUUUCAUUUUAGAAUCUAAACCGAACUCUGUGCGUGUCCGACACUUGGCGGGUGCCGGGCACACUUGACUAAAUUGCGCUUCUAACGAAACCGAAGUUCAUCUCAAGUUUGACUUCUGUUGAAAAUUCGGCAGAAUCUUCCAUGUAAAUAGUCGCUACCCCAAAUUGCAUGAAGUUUACAUUCAAGCAAUCCAACAACAUAACUAUAUGGCCUUAGGCUUUACAGAAAUCCUAGGGCAAUUUCAGAGCAAUACUAAUCAGUUUAAUUUACAGGAAUAGUUCAAUUAUAAAAGAAAUCCUACAUAGCGGAAAAGAUGAGUGAAGAGUGGUGACUACCCUGUGGUGGCGCUCUGGUACACGACUACUGCCUUAGGGUGCAAAACAUUUAAAAGUGUGAGUGGACAAAAAUAAACUUUUGGAAAAUAGAAUAUUAACAUACUAACCCCACUGUUAAAACAUUAUGUUCUAUAUUCGUACAAGAAUAAAGACAUACAUAUAACUAAUCACGCAUUCAAAUUCUCAAAACCUUUUGAAGGCACUGUAAAGAAAUAAUAUAUUUCUCACUUAGGUGUACCCAUCAUAUAUCCGUCAAUUCCAUGGUCUUUUACUUAUUUCCCAUAUUAUACCCUCAAUUCCUUGUGUCACAUAAUGCGACACAUCCUCGCAAGUCUCGGAAACACAAAGUCACCGGAGCCGCAUUCCUCGCAAGACUCAGGGGACAUUAAGUCAACCUGAGCCGCAUUCCUCGCACCACACGGUUCGGGCAUCCUCGAAACUAGUGGGGCAUUGUCAAACGCGCACUGACUCAACCGAACGCAACUAGAAUGUCCGUGGACAUUAUUAUAACCGUAGGCAACAAUUUUAUCCGAAGGCAACAUAUUAUUCGAAGGCAACAUAUUAUCUGAAUGCAACAUUUUAUCCGAAGGCAACAUCUUGGGUACCUAUGGUGGUUUAAAAAUAUUUCUUAGAAAAAUUAUACUUUUAUUUCUCAAUAAAUCCUUCAAUCAUAUUAUCACUUCCUUUCCUACUUUCCAAGCCUUUUAAACAUGAACAAAAUUUAAUAAAGAUAUUUGAAUUCAAAUAUUUAUGCUUGGAAAGUAAUAGUCAUAAAUAAUUCAUUCAAAAUCAAUCAAUGAAACUUUAAUUGCAUAAAAUUCAUUUACAAAACAAAAGUUCACUCACUGAGCAUCCGAGCUAGCCUGACUCUUUGAGGGUCUUUCCUGCACGUUCAACGAAAUCUGAGUACCUAUUUAAGCAAUUAAAACAUUUUAUUAAUAAAAUAGCUCAACCACAAUUACUUAUUCAACACCCUGACCCCCGGCCUCAUAAGUGCGUGUACGUGACUUACAAAGGUUACUAGGCCCAUUUUCAACAUUUCUGACAGGUGGAAUGGUCUGAAAAGACCCGAGUUUAAAAAAGCGAUUAAAUUUCCAUAUUGGUAAAUCCGGUACCCCGUCGGGUCCACGACCGCCGAUUACCCAUCUAAGAGUUCCUAUAGGUUCAACACACUUUACUAAACAUGCCCUGCAAGUUUGGUCCGAAUCGAACGAUCGGAUUACUCACGAUCGCACGAUUAUCGUUUAACUUAAACUUUGAAAUAUUGAAUCAGAGUAUCCGAAACUCCGAUUCUCGAUCCGCGAAUUUCUACAUGAUCCCAGAAGCGCCUAAAUCAACCUAAUUGAAAAUGAAGUAGAUCCAACGGUCCCAACAUAUCAAACCAGGAUAACGCCUAAUAUACGAUAUCUGAUCGACGAUCAAACAAUAACCAAAUUGAAAUUCGAGUAUACCGUCGCGCUCAGGACGACGUGGGGAUCAUUCUGGGACAAAAAUCCAACAUUGACACCCCGCCGACGCGCCGCCACCACUGGCAGGUAUAUUGAGUAAUUUUUCGGCGAUCGAAAAACUCCGAACUGCCAGUCAAUAAUCAUACCUACGGAUUAAGCACAUCAAGAGGAGUAAAUAUCAUGAAUCCAAUUGACAUUGGAACAAAGUUGCAAGGUUUGGAAAUGAAUGUAGAUGAAGAUAUGAUGGUUCAUAUUGCUUAGAAUUCACUAUCUAAGGAGUUUAAGUCUCUCAGAGAUACCUACAUUUCUCAAAAGGAAAGCUGGACACGGGAUGAUCUUAUCACCAUAUGUGUUGAACAGUAACACAAUAUAAUAAGAGAAAGAGAUGAAAAAAUGGUGAAUCAGAUGCAGUCAAAGCAAAAUAAGGAAUAUAGGAACAAAGCCAUUGCAGCUGGAAAAGAGAAAGAAAAUGAAAAGGAUAAUAACAGUCCAAAUGCUCUGAAACCAGUGGGAUUGAAAUGCUUCUUCUAUAAGAAAACUGGACAUAUGAAAAAGGAAUACAUAAGGUAUAAGAAAUGGUUGGACAAACAGAAAACUAAAGGUAAAAGUGAUCAAGUUUUGGUUUGCUUUGAAUCUAAUUUAGUUGAUUUUAUUGAUGAUUCAUGGUGGUUAGACAGUGGUGCAUCUAUUCAUGUGACUAAUUCUUUGCAAGGGUUCAUAAAGAGGAGGCUGCCAAGCAAGGAUGAAGUGAAGGUGUUCGUAGGAAAUGGUAGGGGUGGCAUUUUAAACCGAAAAACCGAAAAACCGCAAAAAUCAACCGAUAUUUUACCGCAAUAAAACCGCAAUCGCGGUAAACCGAACCGCAAUCGCGGUAUUAAGAACCGAACCGCAUUUACGGUUGCGGUUGCGGUAUUUGAUUUUCAAAAUUUGCAGUUACCGCAAACCGCAAAGUAUAGCCGCACGGCUAUACUCUAUGAAUAAUUAAGUAAAAUUGUAAACCCUUCUCUUCUCUUGAAUUGGUGGAAAGGGAACCAAACAAGAUAUCCUAUUCUUUCACAAGUUGCCAAGGAUAUCUUUGCAAUUCCAAGUUCUACGGUUGCUAGUGAAAAUGCUUUUAGCCUAGGCAAGAGGAUUGUGGAUCCUUUUAGAAGCUCUUUGCAUCCUAAAAUGGUAGAGGCAUUAGUGUGUACUAGUGAUUGGCUUAGAGCGGACGAAUUUUCCUUUUACAAGGAACCAACAGAUGAUGAGGUUGAAUUCUACAAGGAAAUGGAAGAUAUGACAACUUGUAAGUAAUUAGUUUAUUUAUGCUAAUGUUAUUUAUGCUUCUUCUUAUAAUAAAAUGUACUAAACUAUGUUGUUUUAUUUGUAGAUAGCAUUGGUGCUCAAACAAUACAAAGGGGUUCUUCAAAUCCACUCACCACCAACACUUGAGUUUGUAACAUUGGUGUAUUGCAUUUUUCCUUUUAGUUUGUAACUUUAAUUAACUGUGAAUUGGAUUUUUCUUUUUGAUUGUAACUUUAAUUCAUUUUGCUUUUGGUUUGUAAAUUUAAAGGAUUUGGAAUUGGAAUGCUUGAGAAGUUUAACUUUAAUUGGAAUGUUUGGAAUUGUAACUUUAAUUUUCUUAGGUUGUGAAUGCUUGAGAAUUGGAAUCGAUUGUGAAUUUAUAUAUGCUUGAGAAAUUGAGGUUGUAUAUUUAUUUAUUUAGGUUGUAAAUUUAUAUUUUUGUGAAUGCUUGAGAAUUUGCGGUUUUAAACCGCAAAUUCUCGGUAACCGACCGCAUUUUUGCGAUUUACCGCAAUGCGGUAAACCGCAAAACGCGGUCGGUUUGCGGUUUCAAAAAUCACCAAACCGCAAAUAGUCGGUCGGUUUGCGGUUUGAAUAAAAAUUCGCGGUUACCGAACCGCAACCACCCCUAGGAAAUGGAGAAAAGUGCAAGUAGAUAAUAUUGGAGUAGUUAGGAUUGAACUAGAUUCUUGUUUUGUUUUUUAUUUAGAAGAUGUGGUUUAUGUUCCUUCAAUGAGCAAGAAUCUCAUCUCAGUUACUAGGCUUGUAAAGUCAAAGUUCACUUUGAACUUUGAUGAUUUUGGUUGUUCUAUUUUUAGAAAUAAAAGCUUAAUUGGAAAAGCAAGUAUUGUGGAUGGUAUGUUUCGAUUAAACUGCAAAAAAACUAUGCAAAUCAACUUAGUUCAAUCCAAACCAUGCAAAGAAUUAUAUUUUAAAUUGUGGCAUAAGAGACUUAGACGUAUUUCAAAGGCAAGAAUCAAUACUUUAUGCAAAGAAUUAGUUGUACCACCAUUGAAUCAUGAUAAUGCAGAUGAUAUAUGCCUAGAAUGUACAAAGGGAAAAUUGACCAACCUAAGAAAGAACGGUGUUGUAAGAAGUCAAAGUGUAUUAGAAUUAAUCCAUACAGACAUAUGUGGACCAUUCCCAACUCCAUCAUGAAAGGUUUAACUACUUCAUCACUUCUACAGAUGACUAGUCGAGAUUUGGACAUGUUUUUUUAAUCAAAGAAAAAUCCAGUGCUUUGGACAUGUUCAAAAUUUAUAAAGCUGGAGUGGCACUACUACAAAAAAGCAAAAAGACGACGGUAAAUCACCGUCGUGUAUUCGGUUUUUCAAUGGUCGUGGAAUCCACCAUCAUCUUUUCCCUCAUAAACCACGACGCUAAAUCACCGUCGUUGUUAAAAUAUACAACGUCAUCAACAAAUACAAAACGACGUCUUUGUACUGCAAAAAGAUCUAAAAAAGCAGUCGAGGAUGAGAAUAGACGACCAACUCUCUAAAAAAACCGUCGUUAAAAAGGAAAAAUAUGACACAUAUUAAGAGAACAAGGCCGCAAGAUAGACAUACAACGACGAAAAUAAAAAUACGACGCCGUUAAAUAUCAUUUUCACGACAAUAAAAAAUUUGACAUCUUUAAAUACAUUAGAAGACGACGUUAUUGAUACCUACUACGUCGCAUAUAUAAAAACAGUCGUCGUAAAAUUAAUUUUCCACUUCGAUUUUUCGAUAAAAGAUGACGUGGAAAUAGUUGUCAGUGUCAUUAUUUACGACGUAUGUAUUUAUAGAGUAGACGUUGAAAAACGAAACAACGUCGGUUACAAAUAUAUGAGAGUCGUAUUACAAAAUUUAUACGUCAUAUUUUCAGAAACAAACAACGACGAUAAAUAUUAGACGUUGUUAAAUAAAACAACGUCGGAAAACAAUAAAAACAGACGUGUUUAGUCUGCUAAAGUUCUAGAAAAUAGUCGAGGAUGAGAAUAGACGACCAACUCAAACAAAUCACCGUCGUUAAAAAAGAAAAAUAUGACACAUGUUAAAAGAACAAGGCCGCAAGAUAUACAUACAACGACGACAACUAAAAUACUACGCCGUUAAAUAUAAUUUACACGACAAGAAAAAAUAUGACGUCUUUAAAUACAUGAGAAGACGACGUUAUUGAAAUAUACUACGUCUCUUAUUUACAAACAACCGUCGUGAAAUAAAUUUUUCACUUCGAUUUUUCUAAAAAAGAUGACGUGGAAAUAGUUGUCAGUGUCAUUAUUUACGACGUAUGUAUUUAUACAGUUGACGUUGAAAUGCGAAACAACGUCGGUGGCAUUUAUAUAGUCGACGUUGUAUUUAUAUCUAUCAUCAUUACUCACGACACACUUAAUAAUAUAGACGACGUUGAACUUCUAAACAACGUCGGUUCCAAAUAAAUGAGAGCCGUAUUACAGAACAUAUAGACGGCGUUGAUUAUGAUGAGAGCCGUAUUACAAAUAACGUCGUUUAAUUGUUAUUAGACGGCGGUUAUAAUGAAUUUCCGUCGGAAUUCAUUUCGUUCCUCUUCGUUUAUAAAAGAACUUGCGACGUGAAAAAUGUAUGAUGACGUCGUAUUUUUUAACGUUCAGAUUAUAUAUCUCGUUUUUUAGACGUCGGUAUUAUGGGAUUGGAGUCGUGUUAUUUUGAAUUACAUGGCGGUUCUUAAUCCUUCCCCGACGUGAUAUCCUGAAUAAUUGCUUCACAAUAGCGUCGUGGUUCUUCAUUGUUACGUUGCUUUAAGACGUCGGUAAAUAUGCUGAAUAACUGGUUCACAAUAACGUCGUGUUUUAUUUGAACGUAGAAAGUGAAGAAAUCACAUUACAAUAUAUUAUAAAAUUAAUGUCAUACACUGCCAAUUACAUAAGCAUCAUUCAAUCCAUAUAUCUUCACACCCAUCUCGAAUAUUUUGACCGCCUAACUCACCCACCAGUUCAUCAAAUGUGUCAACAUUUGGCAUCCCUCUAGUAAAUGGCUCACACUCAAUUAUCACAUCACCUAAGACUUCAUCACCAAUAACAUCAUUAUAUUCUCUAUUAGGCAUUGAUAACACUACUGACCAACCACGAUGCAUCGGGUCGUCAACAAAAAAUAUUUGUUUGACUUGAGAAGCCAAAACAAAUUGGUCAUUCCUAUGUCCAAUUUUACUCAAAUCUACAAGGGUAAAUCCAAGUUCGUCGACUACAAGACCAGAACUAUCUAUCCAAUCACACCUAAAGACUGGGAUUGUAAACUUUUGGUAGUCAAGGUCCCAAAUUUCUUGAAUGACACCAUAGAAACCCAUAUUUGAGAGAAUUGGGUUUUUAUCCUUGGCACUAACACAUGGACAACGGAUAUGUAUUGUAGUUAGAAGAUUUUCUACAGCAAAGUUCAAAAAUGCUUCCACCCCAAAUUCAUAUGCCUUCGAUCUUCUAUCCGAGUGCAUCCAUGACUUAUCCAUCUCCGACACUAUAACCUAUUAUCUAUAAUAAAGUGAAAAUACAGGCAAUGACCAUCACUAUAGCAGAUUAUACAAUGAUCUAAUCGCAAGUAAUACACAACAGAGACGACGGGUUUUAAACAAAAACAGACGUAUUUGGCAUAUAUAGACGACGGAUUUUCAACAGACGUCGUCUAUUAUAAGUAAUACAAACGACGGUUUAUGAAAAAACCGUCGUGUAUAAGUAAUACAACGACGGUAGUUUAAAAAAACCGUCGUGUAAUCGUCGUCGUAUGCCUUAAAAUUUGUCGUGUCUCAGUUUAUUUUCAAGAACACAAAACCCAUUAAGAACACAACAUAUAUAUGAAACCAAGCAAGAAACCAACAUAUACAUGAAACCAAGCAUGAAAACAAUAAAUCCAUUCCCAAUUCAACAUAACAUAGGGUGAUUAAAAGAUACGACAAAAUUAAAUCCAUUCCCAAUUCAACAUAACAGAUAAUGUAAUCCAUGAACCCAUUAAACAGAAAAUCCAUGAACCCAUACCUAUAAGCACAUUAUUAACAGAUCGCAAAGCAUACACAUAAAACCCUUUAACAAAACAACCUAAUAUCACUCGAAUCGUUACUAGAAUCAUCACUCGAAUCCCCAUCUUCAUUAUCAGUUUCUUCCUUCGUAGGUACUAUUUGCUCCCCAUCAUUGGUGCACUUUGCACCUUCUCCAGAGCGGAAAAUGACAAGAUCAAAUAAAGGUGUACUUUUGCUGGAAAUCAACAUAAAAAGACACAGAUCACCAACUUCCAAAUGAUUGUCACGCACAACGUCCAUCCAACUACGCCUGAAUAAGAGCCAAAUCUAAAAAAAUUUAGGUCGCGCGAAAAUUUUUAGAGCUCGCGCGUUUUAAAACGUCGAAAGAAAAACCAAGGCGAAAGUUCUACAAGUACCGACGUAAAUUUAAUAUUCCACGACGGAAACUUCAUUUUUCGGAUUAAGAACGUAAGGCCGUUCAUUUUGAAGCUUCAUUUUUCGGAUUAAUUUUAAAUUUAUUUUGAAUUUUUUAUAUAACGACGACUGAAAAACCACGUCGGUGUUAAGAAAUUAAAGACGUUGUAAAUUAUAUAAACCGACUUACAUAUUAAAAUGACGUCGUUUAAAGCGUAAACCAUGUCGUAUGUUUUUCUGUACGACGUAAAAUAUGUAUUCCACGACGCAACCACCGUCGUUAAAAAUUAAUACCCUAAACCCAUAAAACUAAAUUAUACAAUUUAAAAAAUUAAGUUUAUAAAAGGUUUUAUGGUUUUAAAGCCUAACAUAUACCCUAGACUACCCAAAAAUUAUACUUUAAAAAUAAACCCCAAUAAAUAACAACCCUAAUCUCUAAACCCUAGACUCUAAACCCUAAACCAUAAAACUAGAAGUGAUUUUAUGACUCAUAAAAACAAUUUUGUUUUGGAUGGUCAUUUUAAAUUUUUGUUAUUCAAAAUGAAUUUUUUCAAGGUUUAUGUGGAAGAAAAUAUAUCAAUGACUUCAUAGGAGUUGACUUUUCAAUUUUCUGAUUUAUUUUAAAUUUAUUUUGAAUAUUUUGAUAUAAAAAUAAUAAAAUAUUCUUACCACAACAAUAAACCACGUCGGUGUUAAUAAAUUGUAGACGUUGUAAAUUGUAAUAGACUACUAAGUCGUUAAAAUGACGUCGUUAAAAUGAGAAACCAUGGCGGCUAUUUAACUAUACGACGUAAAAUAUAUAUUCCACGACUUAACCGCUGUCGUUACAUAAACGUCGUCGAUGAUACCCUGAACCCUUAAGAAAUUGAAGAUGUUGUAAACCAUAAACGACUCAAUUGUUCAAAGAACGUCGUCUAACUAUAUUUUUACGUCGUAUUUGUUUAAAACACGAAACAACAAAAUACGACGGUUUUUGACUUUAUUAGGUCGUUGGAAAAGUAUUACACGUCGGUUAAGCAAUUUGUAUGUUUGUUUUUUUUUUAAUUUAAGAAAACCUCAACAAAUUUUUACAUUACAUAUUAUAGAGAAAAUUUGUACAUUAUACAUAAAUAUCAAGUGUUCAAUAAUUGCCCUGUUUAAUAAUUUGGAAAACAAACUCUGCCCAUUCAUUCCGGACUUCAUCAAUGGCUUCUUGGGGGUAUGAAGCUUCCUGGUUUCCCUUGGCAUACUGCAUAAACAAUGACUAUUAGGGUUUAUAAAUAAAAAGAAAUUCAAUCACAGACGACGAUAUUUUUCAUAACCGACGUAGUAUAUCCAUUCAACGACGUUAAUUUUACAUGACCGUCGUUGAUAAUACAAAAAACGACGUGAAAUGUAUGAAGGUAAUUUCUUCUUACCUUAUUCUCAAACCCCAAGGAAGGAUCCAUGAUGAUGUCCCUCAUGAAGCGCAUCACAUAAUACCCGCAUUCGACAUUGCUGGGUUGCUUUGGUGUGCCUGAGAGAGUUUUCCAAAUUACAUUUUUACGUCCUGCUCGGCCUAUGUGGGUAUUAUAUAUUUUUAAAGCACUGUUCACGAUGUUUUUCGCCUCUUCGUCGACCACACGAUGACCUGGCAGAGGAUCCAGAAAAUAGACGGUCUCCUUCUUUGCUCUUACAAUCAGCAAGAUCCAAUGACGGCUGCACAAAAUUAAUAUAAAAACGACGGUUAUUUACAAAAACGACGUAUUAUAGUAUUUCACACGACGAAAUAAAGUAGAUAACGACGACAUUAUAUAUUUAUCACGACGAUAAAUAAAUACCGACGUGGUUAGUAGUUUCAAACGACUAAAUAAAAUAAAACACCGACGUGGUUAGUUUAUAAGCUGUCAUUUAUUGAAAAUCAUAAAAACAAAAUCCUAAGGAGACUAACCCUGGAUUGUAAGGCAUCAUGAAAAUCUGUUCACCGUCUGUCUUCUGAAGUCGAGCUGCUACCAGUCGUGAUCUUUCAGUUAUUGUGCCAGAGUUGGCACUAACUGUAGCAGGGUCGAUAAAGCUAACCAUGCUGCACAUAUUGGCUUGUUUCAAAACAUCGUGUAAGUACCUAAAUACAUAAAAUAAUAUAAACAAGUCAGCACAAACAAACACGACGGUUAUGUAUAAAAAAACGACGUAUUAUAAUAUUUCACACGACGUACUGAAAUAGAUGAGGACGUUAUAAUAUAUUUAUCACGACGGUAGUUAGUUAAGACGACGUGGUUAGUUAGUUAAGACGACGCAAUAUAUAAACCAACGAGGUAUUAUUUUAGAAGUACAAACCUCAUAUAUACAGCCAAUACAGUAGCUCCAAUUUCUUCCAUGCCUGCAAAUUGUGUAAUAUCUUCAGGCAGGAGGAAGGUAUCGUGCUCACCACCAAACACCUCCUUAUCAAUUGUAAAUUGGAGUGUCUUAUCCUCAGGCAGGAGUGUCGUUUCCACAAAAUGACAAAGGGUUUUUAAAGAAGAUGGCGCCUCCAUAUUUGAAUAAGCACCAACUUCAAUAACCUGUUUAAAGAAAUAAAAAAAAUGACGUGGUAAUUCAAUAAAGACGACGGUUUAAGGAAUAAAACGUCGUCUUAAAAGUAUUUAAACGACGGUGAAAAAACUGUCGUGGUAAUUCAAUAAAGACGACGGUUUUAUGAAUAAAGCGUCGUCUGAAACCAUUUAAACGACGGUGCAAAAACCGUCGUUUAAAUAUUUUAUUACGUCUUAAAAAAAGUCCGCCGUCUAAGUUUUAAACAAACGACGGAUUAAAUAAAAAUAUCGACGUCUGAAAUUUUGAAAAACAAAUAAAAAAAGGCAAAGUUAUGUGAACAUACCUUGUCGUCAUGCUUUUCUUCAUCUUCUUUCUCCUUUUCUUAUUCCUUCUCUUCAUCUCUUUUUUCUUCUUCCUUCUCUUCAUCUGGCUGAUGUUUCCCCAUUUUGGCAGUAUCAUCCUCCAAAUGUAGGGAUCUCACAUCACCUCCAGAGCAGCUAGCUUUGUCAGACAUUGGAUUUUUGGGGCUUUGGCUAAUUCUUGGUUUAAGCAUGCUUGGAUCAAAAUUGGGAAUUAAUUGGGAAAGCUGACUCAGGAAAUGCUCCCUCUCAGCCUCUACCAAUUGUUUUGUCCUAGCCUCCAUCCUUAAGGCUUCUUCCCUUGCCUUAGCCUCCAUCUUUUUAGUCUCUUCUUGAAGGAGAACUCUUAAACUGUCCUUCAAACGGUCGUCAAAGCUCACCCUCUGUGGUUUGGGCAAAUUGAAAUAUUGCCUUGGGGAAACACCAGCACCAACUCUCCUCACUCUGCCUGGAUGCUCGGGGCCCAAAGCCAUGGUCAGCACAUCAUUGCUGCCAUCUACUCUGACUUUGCCUUCCGAGACUUGUUUCUGCAAUUCAUCCUAAAACAAAGAUAAACAAAAAAACACACGACGGUUAUUUAUUUACAAACGACGUAUUAUAUAAUUUCACACGACGCAAUAACGUAUAAACCGACGUUAUUAUAACUUAUCACGACGGUAGUUAUACCGACGUGGUUAUUUAUUUAAAACGACGAAAUGAAUAAACAACCGACGUCUUAUGCUAUAAUUAAAGAAAACAGAGUAGUGAUUCCUAUUUAGACCGUUAACGACGUUUUUAAAAAAGUUUCGACGUGGUAAUAUCAUUCAAACGACGCGAAAAUGAACCACCGACGUCUUAUGCUAUAAUUACAGAAAAUUAGUAGUGAUUCCUAUUUAGACCUUUAACGACGUUUUUAAAAACUUUUCGACGUGGUAAUAUCAUUCACACGACGAAAAAUAUAACAUACGACGUAAUAAGAAUAAUUCACAGUUUAAUAAAAAUUUAAAACAGAGUGAUAGUAGGCUUACAAUUAAUUUUGCUUUCUCUGCCACCUUUGGAUCAGGGAUGUUACCAUGUUUGUCCUGUCUAGCUCUCUUCCAUAAGGUAGAUCGAUCAAUUUCUACCCCAGGCAUGGUUUCCUCCAAUUGAUCCUCCAAUCCAGCAUAUCCUUUUCGAGACAAUCGAUGAUUGUACUCGAGUUUCUUCCUAAUCUGUGCAUGUUGAGAAUGCACAGACUCAAAAUCUUUGGAUAGCCUUGAAGCUACAAAGGCAUCCCAUUGUGCUUUCUCUAUGAAUUUAUAUGUUUCAGGGGGUUGGCUUAAUUUCUCCCUGUCAUUGGUGUAUGGAAGGAUAUAAUGCCUCGUUAGUGUAGACUUGAAAUCCUUCCAUUUCUGGAAGCAGAAGCUAAAACAGAGGUCUUGCCCCCUUGGCCUACGACAAAAGCCAUGUCAACUGCUUCCCAAAUCUGCUCCUUUAUAUCCUUGGGGAUUUGGGACCAUUUCUUGUCCACAAGUGGGAUCCUGGAGCGUGCCAACACACCAAUAUACGACUGCAUCUCAAUAUGUGCUUGGCCAACACCUUUCCCCCUUUUAUUGUACUCAACAAUUGGCCUCAGUUUCUGAAGCUUUCUCUUCACAACACGAGGCAUUGUGCUCAUACCUCGACCAGUCUUUGAAUCAUCAGAGAUUGUUGUCUGGCUGGUUGGUUCUGUCUCAGCAGAUGAUGAAGCAAACUUCAUCUUCUUCGAAGACUUCAUCUCCUUCGAAGACUUGUCUUGAGGAGCUACCAUUCCAAGCUUCUUGGAGCCAGAAUCCUUAGUUUGUUGUUGAGAAACCAUUUUAACAGACAAAACUGCAAGUGAAAAUAUUUCAGGAAAACAUUAAGAACACAAACGACGGUAUUAAAAAAAUACGACGUAUGAUAUGAUUUUAGACGACGCAAUGAAAUAAUCUCAGACGUAAUAAAUGUUUAAAACCAUUAUUUAUAUAACGUCGUGGUAUAUAUGUUCACACGACGUCAAUAGUAAUACACCGUCGUGGUAAACUAUUAUUUAUAUAACGUCGUGGUAUUUAUGUUCAUACGACGUUAAUAGUAAUACACCGUCGUGGUAUUAACAUUCACACGACGUAAAACAAUAAGAUAUUUUGUCGUCUAUAUUAGAUACCAACCCUAGUUUCUUUUUCUUUAUAUUUUAUCAAAUAAGGGAAAAACAAAAACCAUUGUUCAGAGAAAUCAAACCUGCAAUUAAACAAGCAUAUAAAAAAAGACUAUUAUUUUAAAAACAACUUUGUCAAUUUUCAGACGACGCUAGAACAACUGACGAACCGUCGUGGUCUACCGUCGUCUUAUUUAGUUGAGGUAGUUGUCUUCAAAGUUGGAAACUUUCCCUCUUUGUCUGUAUAUUUUAUCAAAUUUGGAAAGAAGUACAAUGAUUUUGGCCAGAAAAAAGGUAAAAAGAUUUUUCAAACAAAAAACGUAUGAGCAUGCAAAACAGUAACCAAAAUAGUGAAAAUGAAAGCUUACCUUUUGCGUGCAAUGAAAGCAAGAGGAAGAUGAUCGAUGUUUAAGUUCAAGGACGACGAAGAAGACGAGAGGAAGACGAUGAGAAACUCUGACAAUGCUCUGACAAGGAAAAAAGACGAAAAGGUUUCUCUGGAGAUUGAAAUUUUUAAUCGGGUUUGGAAACAGUGCAUGUGUAAGUUCAAAAGUUGCUUACAUAUAAAACCAUUUCAAAAAAAUAAUACGGCGGUUACAUUUAACUACGUCGUUUUUAACUAACACGACGAAAUAUUUUUCGUUCGACGUGGAAUCAUUUCAUUUAACGUCGUUAGGUUUAAUAUAACCGACGUGGAUUUUAAUUUUUAAAUUAUGAAUAUAAUUUUUUUUCCCGUGACCUUUCAGUUUAUUUUUCAAUUACAGUGCGUUAUAAAUAGAGUUCUUUUUCCAGAGGAAAUUUAAAACGAAGGAAAUUAAUAUUCUGCAAUAUGUAAAGUUUCUUUUUUGGAUGACAGAUUUAAAUAAAAUAAGAAUAUAAAAAUAACUAAUGUGUAAGUCAAGUAGACGAAAAGUUGCUUACAUAUAAAAUCAUUUCAAAAAAAUAAUACGGCGGGUACAUAUAACUACGACGUAUAAAGUACAAAAUACGACGGUAAAUUUAACUUCGGACGUGGUAAAUAAAUACGACAGUAGUGUUGUAGGUACCGUCGUAGUAAACUCAAAAAUUAAAGUACAUAAGUAAUAACUCGCGUCAUGGUAGAUUAUUUAAGACGUCGUGAUUAUUAAUGUACCGACGUGGAGUUCUGUAAUAUACGUCAGUAAUACCGACGUUGAUUUUACAAUUUAAACGGCGGUUUUUUGGUAAGGACCGCCGUUGGUUUUAAAAAUUUAUUCUAUAAAUUUGUCGCUUUCAUUCAUUUUCGCGGUUUACAUUUAGGGUUCCAAGUUCUUCCUCUCUCAGAGACACUGUCUCUCACAUCUCAAAGACAAUAAUUUGGAGGUCUUUCUCAAAGAGAAAUUGAGCUUACAUUUAGGCUAGUUGACAAGAAGAAGCUUGUCAACUAGCCUUCUCACUUCCUUGAUCAAGCCUGAUAGGACACUUAGUGCUUCUGAAUACUCCUUGCUUUCCAUCAAAAGAGAUGCAAGCCUGGCCUCCACUCGUUGUCGAAGGAAAGUUCGCUUCUCAGGGAAAUCUGAAAAUCAGAUGUGCUUGAUCCUCUGCUUGAUUUUUUUGACUAAGAAGAUCCGUCAGAUUUAAGCAUGAGCAAUCGAAUCCGUAGAGCUUCAGAAGAAGAAGAAGACAUUGUCAAUGCUUUGAACUAUACAAGUCUGCAGAAAGAUAAAGGACCAAACUGUUAAAGAAACUGAAACAACGGCGGUUUUCUGUUCUACCGUCGUCUUUUCUCGUCGUCUAUAUUAAGGUAAGAUGGCGGUAGAUUUAUAAUUACCGACGUAGAUUAUUUUGUUAAACGUCGUUAAGUGUACUACAACCGACGUGGAUUUUAUUUUUAAAUUAUAAAUAGAGUUUUUUUUCCAGACUUCUUUCAGUUUUAGUUUUCAAUUACAAAGCGUGAUAAAUAGAUUUUUCUUUCCCGAGGAAAUUUAAAAUGAGGGAAAUUAAUGUUCUAGAAUUUGUAAACUAACACGACGCAAUAUUACUAACCCGAGGAAAUUAUAAAUAGAUUUUGCUUUCCUGAAGAAAUUUUAAAUUAAUUCAGUUUGAAACAAAACGACGGUUUUUUGUUAUGCCGUCGUUUUUAACUAACACGACAGAUUUAAAUAAAAUAAGAAUAUAAAAACAACGACUGUUUUUUUACUACUGUCGUCGUUUUUCGUCGUCUUAAGUAAGACUAAGACGACGUAAUAUAUUUGUUGAGCGACGUUGAUUUGUUUUUAAACGUCGUUAGGUAUAAUAUAACCGUCGUUGAAAAUUGUCUCUCUGAUUGCAAAUUUGCAACGACGUUGAUCAACUUCCAAAAAAUUGUCUCUCUGAUUGCAAAUCUGUGUCAUCUGUUAAGAUUAUUUUGUAUUUUAAAGCCGUGGAUUUGUUUGUAAUUAUACGGCGUCUUAUACGAAAACCUCGUCGUGUUAUUUUAUGAGUAAAAACGGCGGCUUUUAUUGAAAUCGUCGUCUUUACUUUCUACGUCGGUCUAUUCAUAACUUCUGCCGUUCUUUGUUUGCUUUGAUUUUACAUUGCGGAAAUCUGUUUCAAAUAGACGUCGGUUGUUUAAUUAGGUACGUCGUUGUUUUUGAACAGCCAUUUGAAUCUCCAUUUUUUAGUUGUCUAAGGUGGUAUUACACGACGGUGUUUUUAGAACCGUCGUCUUUUUAAAAACCACGACGGUUUUCACUUAGACCGUCAUUGUUUUCUGGUCGUCUUUUUCACUUUUUGUAGUAGUGUGGAAAACCAACUAGACCUAAAGAUAAAAGUUGUAAGGCCUGACAGAGGAGGAGAGUUCUAUGGGAGAUUCGAUGAGCUUGGAGGAAUCUUGGUCCUUUUGCAAGGUUUCUAUAGCAAGAAGGAAUCAUUGCUCAAUACACUAAUCCAUAGACUCCACAGCAAAAUCGAAUUGCAUAGAGGAGAAACAGAACUCUAAAGGAUAUGAUAAGAAGCAUGAUGUGAUGCACAAACUUACCAAUUUUUCUGUGGGGAGAAGCUUUGAACACAUCAAAUCACAUACUCAAUCGAGUACCAAACAAGGGUAUCAACAAUAUCCCUUAUGAAGUUUGGAAUAAGAAAAAAUUACGCUUGAAACAUUUGAAAACAUAGGGCUGCAAGAUAGAGGCAAAGCUUUAUAACCCUAUGGAAAAGAAGCUGGAUUCGAGAACUGUAAGUGGUUAUUUCAUAGGAUAUCUAGAUAGAACUAAAGGAUACAGAUUCUAUUGUCCUAAAAACACUACCAGAUUUGUAGAAACUCAGAGGGCAAUGUUUAUAGAAUCUGAAGGUGAGACAAUCGAAGAUGAAAAUUUUGAGUUUGAUGAAGAUAUUGCAGAAACUGGGGAAACAAUACAAACUGACAUUUUGGUGUUACUAAGUUUUGACUUGAAUGGCAAACAAAACAACCAAGAAGGGCAAACUGGUACAGACCCUAUGGUCACUGAAGAAGAAACUCAAGAAAAUCAAGUUUUACUACCCGAAAAUCAAGAUGUAGUUCAAACACAAGAAGGAACUAAUAAUCAGACAAAUGCAGGACUAAGAAGGUCAGAAAGACCAAAGAAACGUGCUUUACAUAAUGAUUAUGUUUACCUUCAAGACUCAGAGCAUAAUGUGAAUGACAUUGAGGAUCCUAUGAACUUCAAGCAAGCAAUGAUGAGUAACAAAAAUGAAAAUUGGUGGGCUGUUUUGAAAUCAUAAUUAGGUUCCAUGGAAAAUAAUGGAGUUUGGGAGCUUGUGCCUUUACCAUAAGGGAGCAAACCAAUUGGCUACAAGUGAGUGUUCAAAACCAAGAGAAAUUCGAAGGGGUGGAUAAAUAGAUAUAAGGCUAGAUUGGUUACUAAGGGGUUCACACAGAAAGAAUGAAUUAAUUUCAAUGAGACCUAUUCACUUGUCAUAACAAAAGACUCCUUGCAAGUGAUCAUGGCACUAGUAGCUCAUUUUGAUUUACACUUGCCUCAAAUAGAUGUUAAGACUACAUUCUUGAAUGGAAACUUGGAGGAAGAAAUUUAUAUGCAACAACCAGAAGGUUUCAUUCAAGAGAAUGGAGAAAAUCUGGUUUGCAAGUUGUGUAAAUCAAUCUAUAGUCUAAAACAAGCAUCUAGAGAGUGGUAUAAGAUUCAAUGAAGUUGUUAAACUAUAUGGUUUUACAGAGAAUGUCUUAGAUAAGUGCAUUUACAUGAAGAUGAGUAGGAGUCACUUCAUAAUUCUGAUUCUUUAUGUAGAUGACAUUCUGCUAGCUUGCACCAACAUGUCCAUGUUACACGAUUGCAAGGCAUUCCUGGCUAAACAUUUCGACAAUGACAGAUUUGGGAGAAGCCUCAUACAUUUUAGGAAUCGAAAUUAGCAGAAAUAGAAAGAGAGGUUUGUUGGGACUAUCAUAGAAAACUUAUAUAGAAAAGAUACUCAAAAGGUUUAACAUGCAAGGCUGUGCAAGGUCAGAUGUGCCUAUUUCGAAGGGAGAUAAAUUUAGUACUAAUCAAGCACCAAAGACUGAUCAAGGAAAGCUUGAGAUGGCAGAUAAACCUUAUGCAUCAUUAGUGGGGAGUCUCAUGUGUGCACAAGUAUGCACAAGACCUGAUAUUACUUUUAUAGUAAGUGUAUUGGGAAGAUUUUAGUCAAAUCCUGGACAAGCAUAUUGGAUUGCUGGUAAAAGAGUCAUGAGAUAUUUGCAGAGAACAAAAGACUAUAAGUUGGUUUACAAAAGAAGUGACAGACUGGAAGUAGAAGGUUAUGCUGAUGCAGAUUUUGCAAGUUGCAAAGAUGACUUGAAAUCUACAUUAGGAUAUGUUUUCCUAUUUGAGCAGCAAUAUCAUGGAGAAGUAACAAGCAACCACUCACAAUUGCAUUGACUAUAUUGGCAGAAUUUCUGGCUUGUUAUGAAGUAACCACUCAAGCUAUGUGAUUAAAGAACUUUAUCACUAGUUUGGGUGUGGUUGAAUCAAUUCAACAACCUAUACAUCUUUGGAAUAAUAACAGUGCAAGAGUACUUUUUGCAAAAGGGAAUAAAAGAACAAAGGCAUCAAGAAUUCUGGAAGUUAAAUUCUUUGCUGUCAAAGAAAAGACUAGAGAUGGGCAUACUGUGUUGGAGCACAUUGGCACAAAUGAAAUGGUUGCAGAUCCACUUACUAAGGGGUUACCAAAUGUUGUUUUUCACAGACAUGUGAUUAGCUUGGGAUUGACAGUUCAUUUGGAUGACUAAAACAAUGGGAGUUUUAUCAAGUUCUGGUAGUUUAACUAGUUUUGCUAUUUUCUAUUUAAAUUCAUAGAGUGGUGUUUUAAUUUGGAUGAUUUUCAGUUUAAGGAUUCGAAUAUAGUAUAUUUAUGCAAUGUAGUUUAUAUGCACAUGUGAUUACUUGAAUAUGUGUGGGUGGCAUAGCAUGCAUUUAAGCUAGCCAUGAGAAGAUUGUAUUCAUGACAGUUUGUAAUUUUUGUUAUGCAAAUUGAGACCUUGUUAGUCAUUUAUAGGGACAAAGGAAUUAGAUGACUUUUGUUUAAAGCACUUUCAGUAAGGUCAUCUACAUUCUAAAGUUUUAAUCUUGAUCGAAGCCUUAUGUGGUGUUGAAGAGUUUUAAGUGUGAAUAUAAAGACUUUGAUAACUGUAUGAUCAAUAAGUCUCUUAUAAUUUUUCUUCAUUAACAACUUAGUGGGAAUUUUAUCUGGAUAUACUUUCACAAGGCCUUAAAGUGAUCAAUACGAGUUUUCCUUAGCGAUUAUUUAACCAAGUGGGAGACUGUAAGACAAAUCCGUGUCUUAGUCUAAAUUGUGGUCUUCUAAUCAUAUCUGGUUUGGAGGAGCUCUAAUUGAUCAGGAAGUAUUAAUCCUAAUACAAGUAGGAUACUCAAUCAAACAGUGCGUUUACAUUGAGAUAGGAGUAUCUUAAGGAUUCCUAAUUCUAUAUGGAUUAAAACAUCCAAUUCCUAAGUAAACAAAAUCUGUUUGAGUACUCCUUGAUGGGUAAGGUACCGGAACAGAUGCUUAUAAAUAAGGUCCCUUUUGUAUCGGCUAAAAUACACUCAUAACAGAAAACUCACCCCAUCCAGAGAUAGAGAUAAAGAGCCGAGUUGGAGAAGAAGAUUCUUAUUCACAAUGUCUGAUCAAGGUUAGUAUUUGAGAUUCAAAGACAUGAUAACUUAUAGUAUAUAUGGGUUGUUAAGAUUUUAUCCAGAGAUUCAAAGAAAGCUUUUUUCUUUUUAUUAAACCCUUUUCAUCUUUUUCAAUGGUGCACAGUGCAAUAUCCGAGUGGGGAAAUUGGGAAAUUAAAGGAUGAAAAAUAAUAAUUGGGGCAUGCCAAAUUGGCAAAUGCGUAAAGGAGAUGAAGCCUAUCAAAAACAUCAUUUGUUGGCAAUGGAAACUGCAGGAUGAUUGGAAGUUAAGCCAUCUAAAAUCUCCAUCAGUAUCUCUCACUCACUCAUCUUUUGGGACAGAUUCCAGCUUUCUUCCACCACCCACUACAACCUCUCUGUCUACCCCACACCCAAGCAAGAUUCCAAUUAAUCAUCUUCGCUCUCUGAUAAAAGAUUCCUGCUGUUAAUUUAUUCGCACCAGAAAUUAGGGAUGGCCCAUUCACAAUCAAACAAACACAAGAUAACUUUGCUGGACCGCUCAUUUUCUUUAAUUCUACUAAGGCAAUUACAUUAUUGUGACAACGAUUGUCUUAAUCUCAAAUAUCUUCAAGUACAGAAAUGAUAAGUAUUUAGUCUGGAUCAUAAGAAUAUAGUGGUAAAUACAAUUAGUUUCUACCUCAACCUUUUUGAGGCAUUUCGACGAACUGUUUAAGGAAAAUAUCAAUAGAUAACUGAAUUGAUGAGCCAGAUUAAGAACAUAGAUGUCCGAGUGCAGAAUAUAGUAAUUUAUAAACAAAUGAAAAUAGUAUUUUUCCAGUAAUAAUUUUUGAAAAGAACUAAUGAUAGAGACCAAUUGUUUAAAUUAAACAACACUUUGUUUUCUUGUAAUACUUUCAAUUAGUUGGAUGAUUGGUGUGGUCUUCGUGGACUCAGUUGUUAGUUGGAUAAUUAGUUAAACGACUAUAAUUAGAUGUUUUAAAUAGCUUUCAAUUGUCUAAUAUUUCAUAAAAAUCAACUGUAAAUUACGACUCAGAUGGUUGAAAUACAAUUUACUUCAAAAUAACAAAUUAUUCAACGUGUUGAGAAUGUUGUAUAUGGAGUCUACAUAGACUUGACUAGUUGGGUGUUAGGCAAUUAUGAAUUGAAAAUAUUUGUCAUCAGUAAAUGCUUGGAAAUUAAUGCCAUGUUUGGUAUGUCUCAUUAUGUCUUAUUGGACUGGACUGUGUUGUAUAGUACUUGAAAUCCAUAUUUGAUAAUGGAGGGGAUUAACUUAAAUGGGAUUAUAUAGUUCAUCAGUGUAAAAAAGCUCCGGACUCACUUGUCUAAUAUAGCAAUGCUGAAAUGUGGUUCGUAAAUUAGCGAGAACGCUAUUUUGAGCAUGCAGUCCAACCCUUGGCUUGAAUUACAACUUUUUUUUUAAUGAAAUAGGAAGGAAAAAAAAAACACGAUAACAAAAAGAAAAGAGAGAGAGAGAGAGAGAGAGAGAGAGAGAGAGAGAGAGAGAAAUGCUAGGAAAAAAAAUAAAAACAGAAAAAGAGAGAGAAAUUAAUAAAAUAAUUAUUUUUUAGUCCGACACAGAAUCAAACAUAGGUCUUCACUAUUUUUACAAUUCAACUAUUUAAUCCGACGUAACACCAAAAGUAGCUCAAUAUUUAAUCCAGCUUACGCCAAACGAACCCUAAGCCCGAUAACCCCAGUUGACAUCGUCCCUGUCUCCAAUUAGCCUAUAUAAGGCCAAGGGUAUGCUUACAUUACAGCAGCAACUCAAUAAUCUAGAGGUAAUCUUGUUAAUUAUUCAUGGAAACUCCCAUUAUUUUUAGCUCCUCCUUCCUUAGGUUUUUCAUGGGUUUCUUCUCUGUACUUCUAUGCCUAAUUCUCUGCUCUUUCGAGAACGGAUUUGCUUCGGCAGCAAGAGAUACAAAACCCCACCUUCUGCCACAUACCACUCACACAGUUGAAGUAAACUCUCUUCUACCAGCAACCACCUGCAGCCCCUCCACCAAAGGUUAAUUCAUCCCAUAUUAUAUAUAUAUAUAUAUAUAAAACUUAAUUUCAAUGCAUUUAUGUAUCUCUAACACACACUCUCUCUCUCUAUGCAUACAUGUUUCGAUGAUCUCAGGUCAUAACAAUAACAAGGCAUCAUCGGUAUUGAAAGUGGUGCACAAACAUGGGCCAUGCUCCAAAUUCCACAAAUCAUCAAAAACUUCAACCACAACUAGUGAUGAAAAAUACCAUGCUCAAAUCCUCAAGCAAGACCAAGCCCGAGUCAACUCCAUCCACUCCCGCCUCAACCACAACAACAACAGCAGAAUCAAAGACCCACUCACCCAAUCCGCUGCUACCACCCUCCCCGCCAAGUCCGGUAUUGUUAUCGGCUCACCGAACUACAUUGUCACCGUCGGCCUCGGUACACCCGCCAAGCAACUCUCCCUCGUCUUCGACACUGGCAGCGACCUCACCUGGACCCAAUGCAAGGCAUGUUCUGCUACUCAGUCUUGUUACAAUCAGACUGAGCCCAUCUUCGACCCUUCUCUCUCCGCCUCAUACAAAAAUAUCUCAUGUACCACCGCCGCGUGUACUCAGCUCUCAUCCUCCGGCAUCGAACACCGCUGCUCCGCCUCCACCUCCGCCUGCCUCUACGCCGCCGGGUACGGAGACAUGUCCUUCACUAUCGGGGUCUUUGGCAGCGAAAAGCUUACAUUGACCCCCACGGACGUUUUUGAAGGUUUCCUCUUCGGCUGCGGCCUAGAUAACGAAGGCCUUUUCAGCGGAUCCGCCGGUUUGCUCGGUCUCGGCCGGAGCAGCACCUCCCUCGUCGAACAAACCGCCAAUAAAUACAACCGGUUCUUCUCCUACUGCCUCCCGUCUACUUCCAGCUCCACCGGUCACCUCACCUUCGGAGACGGAGGCUCCGCUAACGGCGUUAAGUUCACGAAGCUCAUCACGUCAUCCCAAAGCGAGUCGUUUUACGGCCUCGGCCUCGCCGGCAUCAAAGUCGGUGGGAGCCAGCUGUCGAUUGAGCCCUCAGUCUUUUCGUCUUCUGGAACGAUCAUCGACUCGGGGACUGUGAUCACGCGGUUGCCGGCGACGGCAUACGCGGCGUUGCGGGGCGCGUUUCGGGAGGCGAUGAAGAACUACACGCUGACUGAGUCGUUUUUGUUGCUGGACACGUGUUACGAUUUCAGCGGCUUGAACACGGUGACGUAUCCGAAGAUAGCGUUUAUGUUUGGGGAUGGACUUACGGUGGACUCGGACGCGACCGGGAUAUUGCUUCUGAUAAGUCCUUCGCAGGUUUGCUUGGCGUUUGCCGGAAACGAGGAUGAUAGUGACUUUGGGAUUAUUGGGAAUGUUCAACAGAAGAGGUUGGAGGUUGUGUAUGACGUCGCUGGAGGAAAAGUCGGAUUUGCCCCUGAAGGUUGCCCUUGAGUAAGGGAAAUACCCAUGUAGUUCUUAUUUUCUAGAUACUGGCCCCUGGCACAUGCAUGAUCUUGUGUCAAUUGGUUUUCUUUUAAAUAUAUAUUGUUUUUAGAAUUAAGAAAAGGUAAUAUAAAUAGUUAUGUUCUAUAAAAGUAGAAUCUAUUAUCUGAUUUUAUUUUAAUAUGAAUUUAUCAUAUUAUCCUUAUUUAAUUAAUAAUUUCAAUUUUUAAUGUUUGUAUUAAUUAAGGGCAUUUUUUGGUAUUUUAAAUAAUUUACCAUUCUCUGCAUUGCUUUAUAUAUAUAGAUAAUUUAACUAUUUCUAAAUAUUUAAGAUAAACCCAAAUUCGAAAUUUGCUGUCAUUUAAGAUAAUAUUUGUCCUAGUAUUAUCAAUUAAAUUACAAUAUGUGCCAUUAACCUUCGUUUGUUUGCAACUGUACAUUGAUUCUUUUCCUAAUAAACACUGUAUAGUCUCUUGGAUGCAUGAUCCCUUCCUUGCCGUAAAUUUGUAUUGAUUUCAUAAAAAGUAAUAAUCAAAAUAAUUGAUGUACUGAUUGGAAUUUGUUUUUAUUAUAUAUAAAUGGCACGUAUAUUAUUUUUACAAUGUGCCUACAAUGGUGCUCAUUUUUAAAUAAAAAUAAUUUACCUGUAUGACAUGUACUUAUAUUGUACCUUAUUAUCUUUUAUUGAUAAUAGGAACAUUAUGUAUUUUAAAAAGAGGUACGUUAUCUUAUAUUGAUAAUGUCAAUUUAUCUAUUAUCUCUUAUUGAUAAUAAUUUGGGAGAUUUUGGAAAAGCCCAAAGGAGAGAGAAAAUUUUUAAAAGAAGCCGAAAUGGACAAAAUUGCCCUUAUUUAUUUUUUGAUUUCUUAAGGAAUCUUUUACAUUUGCAUGUCUUUGGUUUGAAAGUUGAGAGGUUUUUCUGUCUUUUUUGAAAAAGCUUUGGCUUUUUUCAAAAGUGAAAAUUUUUUUAUGGGUAAAACCUAAAUUUACUUAAUAAAUAAUUUACCUAUUAUCUUGUACUAGCCUCUUUGCGUGCGCUUCUGCGCUUGCGAGAGGAUUUUUUUUAAAAAAAAUUUAUUUUAGAAUUAAAAAAGAUAAUUGGUAGUUGUGUUUCAUAAAAAUAGGAUCCAUUAUUUGAAUUUUCUUUUAAUUUUAUUUUUUUAAUAUGAAAAAGUGUGAAUUUACUAUAAUAUCCUCAUUUAAUUAAUAAUUUCAAUUCUUAAUAUUUGCAUUAACCAAUGGCAUUUUUUGGCAUUUUGAAUGUUUUAACAUUCUCUGCCUUUUGCUUUAUAUAUAUAGAUGAUAAUAGGUAAAUUAUUUUUAUAAAAUAUUUGGUACAUUAUUUUCAAAAAUGCGUUAAAUGAGUUGGGUAUAUUAUUUAAAUCAUAAGUAAAUCAUAAUAAAAAAAUGAUGCAUAAAGAGUAUUGAAUUGCAGUUACCAAAAAAACAAGUACUGAAUUGCAGGCUAAUUCCAGGUACUAAGACUUAAUACACCUACCAUAUAACAGGUUAAUUUGUAAAUAGGGGUAGUUUUGGAAUCUGAAAAAUAUAAUAAAUCAUAUUUUAAGUUAGAUUAGGUAACUUGCUUAGUUGGAUCUUAGUCAUAAGGUUUUAUUUGAAAAAAUUGGAUAUUUUAAAUAGAAAAAUAAAGAGAAGAACUACAGGUGAUUAAAAAUGAAUUUUAUGAGUCUAAGCUUAAUUUACUAUUCUUUUUUUAAUAUAACAUUUGUGUUUUAAAAAGCAAAAGGAAGACAAUAUGGUUUUUAUUUUUGUAUUGAAGUGAUAUUAUAAACUGAACCUAGAACUUUAGAUAUGGAAUAAAUAUUCUUAACAACUCGAAAAACAGCAGUUUGAAGAAAGAUUAGUGAACAUUCCAAAGUUUGGUGUACGGAUAUAGUUAAACUGAUUGUUUGAUCAGUUUAACUAUGGACUCUGUUGACUCAUUGACUUUGGGACCCAUGAGUAGUCGUGAGUCGUGACUAGGAAGGAACAGAAACGCAUGCAUGAUGCAUGCAGUACCUUCCUUCCAGACUCCGAGUCCACUUGGUAUUAAUUACACUAUUGACAUAUUGUAUGCAUAAUGUAUGUAUGUGUAUUGACAGAGAACCUUCUUACCUUCAUUUUCAUUUUUUGUCUUUUCCUUGAAAGAUAAUUAACAUAAGAGAACGGGUGGACAAAGUCGAUCGACCAAAAAAUGACAACAAAAAAAUUGUAACGGGUUAGGGCGGGGUUUGAGAACGAUGGUAUGGAGCAAAUGCUAGAAAAUUAAACCCUCCAAAUAGUUUAUAUAAGGCCAAUAGUAUGCUUAAACUUAAAUCUACAGCUAGCUAGGCUUGUUAACUAUAUUCAUUUCUAGCUCCUCCUCUUUCCUCAGGUUUUUUCAUGGGUUUCUUCUCUGUGUUUCUGUUCCUAAUUCUCUGCUCUUUCGAAAAGGCCAUUAUUGCUCUGGCAGCAACAAGUCCAGAACCCCACCUUCCGCCACACACUACUCACACAGUAGAAAUAAACUCUCUUCUACCAGCAACCACCUGCACCCCCUCCACCAAAGGUUAAUUCAUUUCAAACCCCAUUUUAAUUACGCUGUUAAUUCUCUCUCUCUCUCUCUCUCUCUCUCUCUCUCUCUCUCUCCCCCUAUAUAUAUAUAUAUAUAUAUAUAUAUUCAAUAUUCAUAUAUUGUCUGGCUAUAUACGCUGUUAAUUCCAAUGGCGCAUGGGAGUAGAGACUGUGAAAUUCCCUCUAAUAUUCAUAUGCAUAGAAAAACAUACACAUUUUUUUUUUAAGUUUAGCAUAUUAAACUUAUACACACUACACAAAUGCUAUGACUCAACUCUAGAACCUUCCAUAAAAAAGCUAUUAUUCUAAAUCACUACACUAGUUGAUCUUUUUUUUUUAAAAAAAAAAACACACAUAAAGAGCCCCGUGCUUGGCCAAAAAAAAAUCUAAACCAAAUUUACUCUUUUUUUUUAUUUAUAGUAAAUUGAGCUUAGACCAAUAAAAUUCAUUUUAAGUUACCUACAACCCUUUCCUUUAGUUUUCUAUUUAAAAUACCCAAUUUUUUCAAAUAAUACCCGAUGAUUAUGAUCCAACUAAGCAAGUUACCUAAAAUAACUUAAAAUUUGAUUUAUUGUAUUUUUCGGAUUCCAAAACUACCCAUAUUUAUAAGUUAAUAAGUUAUAGGGGGUGUAACUAAUGACACCCGUUGAAUUUAGAAAGAUCUCCAAAUAGUUAUAAUGGAUGUAGGAACUAAUUCAAAAAUUUAUUUGAAAUUAAAUAUUAAAUUCCACAUUGAAGUAUUAUUAAUCUAUUUUACGACUAGUAAUCUAUUUUUGAAUUAAUGGUGUUUUUCUUCUAUGAAUUACGACUAGUAAUCUAUUUAAAGUAUUAGUAAUUUAAAUUCAAUAUUAAAUUUAGGAAUUAAUGUUGUUUUCUUUUUAUGAAUUAUACGACCGGUAUUCUUUUUAUUAUAGUUUUAUGAAUAAUAGUGUACGUUCUAAUUAUAUUGAAAAAUAAUUUGAUAAUCUAUUUAUUGUUUUGUUUUUAAAAUAUUUUUUUUAAUGAACCUAUUUUUCUCCAAAUAUUGUACCUAUUUUUUUCUUUUUUAUUGUUUUAUGAAAAUAUAUUUGAUCAUAUUUUUAUUGUUUGUUUUAUGAAAAUAUUUUUUUUACAUGAGCCUAUUUUUUCUCUCAAAAUAAUGUAUCAAUUUUUUUUCCUCUAAUAAUGUACCUAGUAAAACAAUUUACCUAGUAUGAUGAACCUAUUUUUUCUGCUGAAUUUUGUAUCUAUUUUUUUCUAUAAAUAAUGUACCUAUUUUUUUUCUCUAAUAAUGUAUACCUGGUAAAACAAAUUUUCUAGUAUAAUGAACUUAUUUUUUUCUUCUAAAUAAUGUGCAUAUUUUUAAUUUAUAAAAAUGUGUAUAAAUUUCAAUUAUACAACGUACCUAUUUUCUAUAAAUUAUUGUGUACCUAUUUUUAAUUUAUGAAAAAUGUACGAAAAUUUCAAUUACGAAGUAACUGACCUAUUUUUGUCAAAUUUUUUCGGUAAAUAAUAUACCGAUAUUGUUAUAGGUAUAUAUUUAUAUUUAUAUUUUUCAUAUGUGCAUUAUUGGAUAUGUAAUUUACAUAUUAUUUUUUUUAUUUGCAAUUUUAAGGGGCCAUAUGCUAGAGAGAAUGGCAACCGAAAGAAAUGGGGUGAUUGAUAUGCUAUUAAUAGGGAGUUUUAAUUACAAUUAUGGCAGUUAAUGAAAGGCUUGGAAUAAAUUAUAAAUAAAAUAUGAAGUUUGAUGGCAAUGAUGUAAAAACAUAUGAAUACUACGACCUCUUAUAUCCUACUGGUCAUUUAAGUUUGAAAUUGCGUUUUACACAUAAAUUUAUAGAAUGAUGGGUAUAUGCCUGGAAAAAUAGAAUUUGUAGGGCAUAUAUAGUAACAAAGAAAAACAACAAAAUAACAUAGCCCCCGUGCCCCAUUACCUUUGUGUCUCUCUCACCCACAUGGCAUGCAUGGUCUUGUUACCCGUAAACUAGUGGCAGGCAUGCACAGAUGGAUAUAAUUGUGAAUAUAUGCAUAAAGAGUCACAUGUAUACAUACACUCAUCCCUUUCAAUGACCAGGUCAUACCAAUAACAAGGCAUCAAUAUUGGAAGUGGUACACAAGCAUGGGCCAUGCUCUAUAUUCCACAAAUCAUCCAAAACUUCAACCACAAAAAGUGAUGACAAAUACCACGCUCAAAUCCUCAAGCAAGACGAAGCCCGAGUCAACUCAAUCCACUCCCGCCUCAACUACAGAAUCCACGACCCAUUCACCCAAUCCUCCGCCUCCGCCACCCUCCCAGCCAAGUCCGGUCUCCUUCUGGGCUCACCGAACUACUUAGUCACCGUCGGUCUCGGCACACCCGCCAAGCAACUCUCUCUCGAAUUCGACACCGGCAGCGACCUCACCUGGACCCAAUGCCGCCCAUGUCUUCGAUAUUGUUACACACAGAGCGAGCCCAUCUUCGACCCUUCUCUCUCUGCCUCAUACAAAAACUUAUCCUGUACAUCCGCCACGUGUACUCAACUCUCAUCCGCCGGCAUCCCACACCGUUGCUCCUCCGCCUCGUCCUCCUGCCUUUACGGCAUCCGGUACGGUGACGGGUCCUUCUCCAUCGGGGAUUUCGCCAAAGAAAAGCUUACAUUGACCUCCAUGGACGUUUUUGAAGGUUUCCUCUUCGGCUGUGGCCAAGACAACCAAGGCCUUUUCAACGGCUCUGCCGGUUUGCUCGGUCUCGGCCGAAACAACAUCUCCCUCGUAGAACAAACCGCCAUGAAAUACAACCGCUUCUUCUCCUACUGCCUUCCGUCAACUUCCAGCUCCACCGGUCAUCUCACCUUCGGCAACGGAGGAGGCUCCGCUAACGGCGUCAAGUUCACCAAGCUCACCACGUUAUCCGAAAGAGAGUCGUCGUUUUAUGGCCUCGGCCUCACCGGCAUCAGCGUAGGCGGGUGCCAGCUGCCGGUUGCGUCCUCGGUCUUUUCGUCUUCGGGAACCAUCAUCGACUCGGGGACGGUGAUCACGAGGCUGCCGGCGACUGCAUACACGGCUUUGCGGGACGCGUUUCGGGAGGGUAUGAAAAACUACACGAUGACUAUGUCGUUUUCGCUGCUGGACACGUGUUACAAUGUCAGUGGCUACGAGACGGUGUCGUUUCCGGAUAUUGCGUUUGGAUUUGGGGACGGGGUUACGGUGGACUUGGACGCGGCCGGGAUAUUGUUGGCGGUAAGUGAUUCGCAGGUUUGUUUGGCGUUUGCGGGAAACAAGGAUGAUAGUGACAUUGGGAUUAUUGGGAAUGUUCAACAGAAGCGGUUGGAGGUGGUGUAUGACGUGGCUGGUGGAAAAGUCGGAUUUGCCCCUGCAAGUUGCCCCUGAGUAAUGAACAUCGUCCAUGGGGCAUAAUUGUAACACAAACUGCUAGCUAUAGAAUAAAGCAUUGUGUUCCAUAUUUUUCUGUAAUGGGAUUGUAUUGGGAAGUAUCCAAUUCUUACCUUUCCCCACUACUUGUAUAAAAUAGUCUAAUGACCAAUCAAGCGAUAGUAUUUUAUAUAAUAAUAAAAUAAUCGAAUGUAUUGGAAGGAAAAUUCCAACUCAAAUACAAAAAGGGGUUUAUUGCCCUAAUCAAUUCUCCUAACUCACGUAUGUUGUCGGUGUUUUGAAGUAAUGCCACGUGUUAAUGUGCUGUUUCUCUUUUGAAAUAGCAAAAGUAGAACACUAAUCUCCAUCUCCUAGUUUGGGCUUGUUUUGCUUUUGGACUCGACCAGGCCAACUUUAGCACAAAAUGUCUUAAGAAGGACCUAAAAGAAAAUAAAAAAAGAAAAGGUCAAUGAAUUGGGAAGGCUUUGGCUUGGGCUUGGGGUGGUUCAGCUUCAAAUUUUAACCAGUGCCUAGGGUUCAGUGUAUUGGUUUCAGCGGAAAGGCUCGUCAGUCUGCAGUCUGUGUCUUGGGCUGCCUAUCCUUAACUAACCACUUUCUGAUUGCUUUGUGUAUGGGCUUUUUUUUUUCGGCAGCUACAAAUGGGCUAGGCUGCUAUAAGGAGCGAAUUGAUAAAAUUAUCUCUUGUGUUUAAGUUCAAAGAUCAAGCCCCAAGAAUGCUUCUAAAGGAUAGUGAAGCCUUAAGAAACACUUUGGUUACCUUCACCAACAAAAAUAACAACAGCUUACAGAUAAAUUCUUAGCUUGGCAUGAGAAGCUUGUGGCAUGGGAGCUAAGCAUUCAUGAAUUUAGCAUGAGAGAGAGAAAUGAUUGAGAUUUCCUAUGAGAAAUAGAGUUUUUAAGGCAUGAGGGAAGGGAUUCUAAAAGGAUUUGUUGUGGAGAGAGAGGGGGAGAGAGAUGAGGGCAAUGGGUGGCUUAAGUGUUUUUCCACCAGCUUGACAGAGGCUCUGUCAAAUGUUAAAACAGUCUACCAAAAAAGGGAAAAUGGGAGAGAAUGAUGAAUAUAGCACGAAUUUGCUAGGUUUUGCAAGUGAGAGAGGAAGCUUGCUCUCUGGACGUGGUUGUGGCUAGUGGUGGAGUAUUGGGUGUUUUUGGUAGUUUUUCAGCAGCCUGACAAAAGCUUGCCAGAAGAGAAAAUAGAAGGAGAUGGAGGAAUAGGGCACGAAAUUGCAGAGUUUCAGAGAUGAGAGAUGAAGCUUGCUCUCUAGAUGUAGGUUGAGAUAAUUGGUAGGAAAUGCUUCUUUUUAUAGGCAUUAGAAGCUACUUUUUUUCAAGAAACCCUAAUAGUUUCUAUCCAAUUUGGCCAAGCUUUUUUCCUUCAUUUCUUCUCCAUUCCUUUGACUUAUCCUAUUUGGUGAAAUUCUCUCUGCCCAAUUGCACAAAAACAGAGAUUUUGGGAGCUCAAUGCUCUUCUCACAGCUGCCUCAGUAGAGAACUCCCAUUUUCAGCCAUCUUUCUUCCUUCUUUACUCCCCUCUUCUAUGGCUAGAUCUGAUGGGGGGGAAAGAAAUGGGUAUGUACACUGGUUUGAAGGGUGUUUUGCUCAAGUAUCCCUUGGUUUUUCUGAUGGCUUGCGUUGGAUUUGUCUUUGGCCAUGUGCUGGAGAUUCCCAGCAGCCUGCAAAUGUGAGUGGCUUUUGGCUUUUAUCAUGGUUUUGUCUCCAACCAUGUACCGGAGACUUUCAAAUAUUUUGUUGGUCACUUGGGCCAUUCUUUAAGGUAAAGGCGCUAGUUCACUAAAGGGAUGGGCCAACUUCCCAAAGUGAUGGGCUAUCUUUUCUAAGGUAAUGAGCUAUUUUCUCUCCUUUAUGUUUACCCACAUAUUUGGGCUCAAGAAAUGGACUUGAGUUUCGGGAUUCCCAAGCAGCCCAAAACUUCCAUUUCUCAGCUCAUCAAUAGGCCUCAUGAAAGCUCGUAACCAUCUAUACCACAACCCAAUCAGCAAGCCCAAGGCAUUCGCGUGGCUUGGGUCCACUUAAACUUGUAGUGUGGCGUGUUGCUUAUUUGCUUGGCGUGGCACGUGUGCAAGCGUAUAUGAUGAACUCUUGCGUACCUAAAUUAGGUUUCUUCCCAAGUUAGGUGUCGUACUAGGCCGAGAAUUUAUUCGGGCCCAACAGUGGAUUUUUUGAACCUCAACACUUAGGUAGCAAAAAUCAGAGGACACAGAGAGAUAGAGAGAGGGAGACAGCCACAGACCAUCAAGUACUUUAAGUUAGGUUUGAUUCAUGAUAUUAACUGACUCUUAUAUUUGCUUUAAUAUCCAUGUGGAUGAAAUUUAAAAUGUGAUAUCAUGUGGUUAAGUAGUGGUGUAGGAUUUGUCUUUCAAUGGUUUCAACCAAUUUCGUGGAUGUUAAGAUUGAUAUAGGUUGGUUGACAAUAGGUAGAUCGUCCUUAUCGUUUCUAAUCCUAAUAUGACAAUGCCUUAUAUUAAUUUUCUAAUUUUUGGUUGAAUAUCUUAUUUGAACAAAGGCAUCUGAAAAUUUGAUCAUUUUGAUGUGUAGAGGCCAUUGUUACACUUCGCAAAGAAAAAUAAUGUAUAUCUUUUGCUGGACAAAAUUACGCUUAUAUAUAUGUGCUGGCUAGUGUGUUCCAUUUCUUUUUGUUUUGUUAUUUGGCAAAUGUUACACUUUUGUACAGGGGAACAAUACCACCCAUCUUUCCUUUUGAAGUGUUAUUUGAAGAAAAUGAUUUUGAAUGAUUUGAAAGAAUUACAUAUGCACUUUAAAAAAAAUGCAACCUUCAAAAAUACAUCCAAAUAGCUAAAUAAAGUAUUUCUUGUUUGUUUUAUGGGAAAUAUGAAACUUUGCUCCCACAGAUGAUAUUGACGGAGAAAAGAAAGAAUUUUCGUUCCUAAACCAAGAAGAGAAAUCACGUGGGUUUUUGAUCAGAAGAGGAGAUUGGAAUGAGUAGGAGGGUAUUUUAGAAAUUUUCUCCCCACUAAAAAUAUUAUCAAAAUAUUAAAUAGAAAGUUUCUUUUAAAAAAAGAAUAAAAGAUAGAGUCAAAAGUUAUUAACAGCUGGCGUCAUCUCAUUAGGCUGGGACACUGACGUGGACAGCUGACCAUAGCAUACCCAUGGCAGGGAAGUUUUUCUCCAGUGGAGGAGACUGUGCAGAAGAAGAUAGCCUUUUUUCUUAUGCUUUUCUUUCCUCUGCCCUUCUCUUUUCUAACUUGCUAUCAUGGUAUGGUUCUGAGCUUUCUCAUUCUCACGUCUUUGUUGUUGUAAUUCUAUCUGAGAAAUUUAUAAAAUUCUUCUCUGUAUUCUUUUUGGUCAGUUGGGUGAGUGCUGUUUGAUUGCCUUGUUGCUUUUUUUCUUCCCUGAUCUAGGGUUUAGGGUUUCAAACAUUUUAUUGAGCUUGAAGAGGAAGUGAUGAUGAUAAAGCAAGGACCUUUUGAUAAAGAUUACUACUUCCUGAUGUGGGCCUUUGACCAUAGAAAGAGAUCAGAUAAAGCAAGGAAAUGGGAGAAAAUAUACGCCCUUUGGCAUUUGAUGGUCCUUGUUGCUUGCUUGUAAGUUGUAAUUGUCGGUGAGCAGGCUUAGCUAAAGAGAGUAAAGGAAAGCAACAGUGAGAGAGAGAACUCUCCCUCCUCUCUUUUCCACACUUUCUCUCUCCAUCUUCUUUUCUUUAUCUCCUUUACUUUGCCACACCCAAAGCAAUACUUACUAAACUAACUAAUCCAAAAUGAUUAUUAAUUUAUUAACUGGGGUUAAUUGCUGCAGCCUUCAUCCCAAAGCAAUACUUACUAAACUAACUAAUCCACAGGCUUCUUGUGAGGCAAUCUUUUCUCUUAUUCAAUUACCCCAGUUAAUAUGAAACUGUUGAAAUCAAUAUUUAUAUAAAUACAAUUGCGAAAAAAUAUUUACGAAAUUUUGUAAGUAAUACGUAGAGCACGUGAUUUAAAAAAAAUAUCUCACAUAUGAGAAAGCGCGUACAAAAAGACUAAUAAAACAUAAACAAAAAGGAUAAUCCUCAAGGGGAGCCACUAAUUAUUGAUCAUAUACCAGACAACUCCCAUCUUUAUAUAACUUCCAUUUUCAUUUUUCUUUUAAUUUUGUAAUUUGUAAUUUGGAUUUUUGGGAGGUGGAGUGGGAUAAGAAUUAUAGGGUGCGGUUCGUGUACCUAGGAAACCGCCACGUUCUUUCUUUAGGAAAUUUGGGAUAAAGUUAAAAAAACAUAAGUUGGGAGGUAGUGAAAUUAAAAGCAAGGCCAUGUGUUUCAUGAAUCAAAAUCAGACAGUUUUGUGUCCCAGUGAUGCAGAGAUAUAUACAAAUAUCAUUUAGACUUUUGCUUUUGGGCUUUGAUCAGGAUCUGAUCCGUUAUCUCAUCACCUUUUUUUUUUCUUUUUCCUUUUUUUACUCUUCAGUUUCUGCAUGUGCGUUACACUAACAUCAUUACUAAUCUCCUUUUUAUCUAAGCUGUCUUUCUGUAAAGGUAACACUGAUAUUCCUUCCCCAUAAUUCAAAGAAAAAAGGAGUUUGAGAUGUGGAAAUAUGGAUUCCCGAAUCAAAACUUUUUGAUUUUGUUAACGAUUAUAGUGGGCCCAUCAGUACUGGGAAUUUGUCUGCUUAUUUUGAAUUGAAAGCUACCUCUUGUUGGAAAACCUUAAAAGUUGUUUCUUUCCAAGCCCACUUACACUUGCUGUGUAAACUAAUGAAGUCUACAUGAAAGCAAUCUCAUGUCCUAUUGUGUAUAUGCAUGUGCUUAAUUGGUGUAUAUUCUGUAGUACCACAACAGAAUGUUUAACAUUCAAUUGGGGCUAAUUCCAUGAUAGAGUGGUAAUUGAACAGUAUCAAUACAUCAAUAAGUGCACAGUUGGGUAUACACAAUGAUCAAAAGGAGACAAAACAUAACAGCGGUUUAAGUGUUUCAUAAGAGAGUAAAAUAGAAGAAAUUGAGAACUGUUCAUAAGCAAAUCUGCCCAUUCAUAAGCAUACGUCUAAUUAUAAAAUCAAAGAACAAGAUACUGAAUAAAAAUAAAGUGAGAAAGAGAGAUUGUUAAAUGCUCUCAGCAACCAAUCAUAUUGUAAAAUGAGAAAGAGAGAUGAUUGUCGUCAAACCUUGCUACAACGGCCGAGAUCUUUGGAUCCACUAGAAUCUCCCCUUUCAGCUUCAACCCCAGAUAUUUCUUUGUCUUUGUACCUCUCAACCUUGAAAGCCCUUGGAACAAGGUGGUUCUAUAUACCAGACAAAAGAAACCAAUUAUCAAAUUUAAUCAGAAACUCACAUUACCAACAAACAAAACCCAGCUAUCCAAAAAAAUUCAAGAAACCAAAAGACAAAGGGAAUAGAAAAAGCAAACUGACAUUUGAUUUCAAAAUCCCCAAUUUCUAGGGUUUGAACUGAUGAGAGCGAGGAGGAGAGAUGGACGAAAAGAUAGAGAGAGAGAGAGAGAGAGAGAGAGAGAGCACGCGAGCUUCAAGCUUCUCCCAUGGAAGCUAGCUUGAGUGAGAACCAGUAGCACAGAGCGAACCAGCAGAUCCAACGACAAGAGAAAAAAAAUUCAAGAAAAACGCAUUUGUUUUGUUUUGAAUAAUAAGGGUCUUUUUGCAAAUGACCCCAUUGGUGUAGUGGUUUGGAGUAUUUACUCCCUCAGACAAGGUCUUGGAUUCGAGUCCUAGCAUCCGCAUAGUGUGUGUGAGUUUAGUAUGCUAUCGCCCCUCUCAAUGAGUCCUGUUUACCUGUUACCAAAGUUCCUGUGGCCUCCUGUUUCCCUGCUAGUUUCGUGACAUGUGGCAAGCCACUUAACACCACUUAACUCUGUUAACUCUUUUUGCUUCUUUUUAUUGUUUGUUUUUUUUGCUUUUUCUCCCAGUUCUGCCCCUUGAGGGUUUAGGGUUUAGGGUUUAGAGCUGGUGUUUCGGCUCGAGUCCAUGUGUUGUUUUGGGCUGGUAAGGGAAAAAUGAGCGGAAAAGAUAAGAGAAGGUAGGGAAAAAGGGGGUGAAGGAGAAACUAAAAAAAGAAAUAAAAAAGGAGAUGAGAGAAAAAGAAAAACAAAGCAAAAGCAAAAGCAAAAAAAAAAAAGAAGAGAGAGAGAGAGAGAGAGAGAGAGAGAGAGAGAGAGAGAGAGAGAAUGUGGAGGUAGAGAUCUGGAAAAGAUAACAAAAAAAGAAGAAGAGGAGAGGAGACGACGGAGGGAGGGGGAGAGAAGAGAGAAAGGGGCAUAACAGGGAGAAAAAGAAAAAAAGAAAAAAAAAGCAAAAAGAAGCAAAAAGAGUAAACAAAGUUAAGUGGUUUUAAGUGGCUUGCCACAUGUCAUGAAAUUAGCAGGGAAACAGGGGGCACAGGAACUUUAGUAACAGGUAAAUCGGACUCCCUCUCAAUAGGAAAUAUCCACAAAACACAAAAGAAAAAAAGGUCUUUUAAAAUUUGUUUUGGAAUUGGAUUUUUAAAAAUAGACCUACCAAACGAGUUUUUGGGCUUUUGAAUUUAAAAUCAGUUUUUGAGUUUAUAAAAUUGGACUCAAAUCAAAUACCAAACAGACCCUUAAAGACUUAAUGUUUUCUUAAAAUAUUGCGUUUGUUUAUUUUAUAGAGUACAAUUAUAUGUUUUAAAUAAUUUUCAAAUUAUCUAAUAUUUUUUAAGAAUCAACUGUAAAUUAUGCCUGACGGUGAAAAUACAAUUUACCUCAAAAAUAACUAAUUAUUUGACGUUAUUUGACGUGUUGAGAAGGCUAAAUAUGGAGUCUACAGAAGUCUAGAGAGACUUGACUAGUUGACAUCCCUGUCUCCAAUUAGCCUAUAUAGGGCCAAGAGUAUGCUUACAUUACAGCAGCAACUCAAUAAUCUAGAGGCACUCUUGUUAAUUAUUCAUGGCAACUCCCAUUAUUUCUAGCUCCUCCUUCCUUAGGUUUUUCAUGGCUUUCUUCUCUGUAUUUCUAUGCCUAAGUCUCUGCUCUUUCGAGAACGGAUUUGCUUUGGCAGCAAGAGAUACAAAACCCCACCCUCUCCCACAUACCACUCACACAGUUGAAGUGAAGUCUCUUCUACCAGCAACCACCUGCAGCCCCUCCACCAAAGGUUAAUUCAUCCCAUAUUAUAUAUAUAUAUUAAUUUCAAACCCCAUUUUAUGUGCAUUUAUGUAUCUCUAACACACACACACACACUCUGUCUCUGUCUCUCUCUCUCUCUCUCUCUCUCUCUCUCUCUCUCUCUAUGCAUACAUGUUUCAAUGAUCUCAGGUCAUAACAUUAACAAGGCAUCAUCGGUACUGAAAGUGGUGCACAAACAUGGGCCAUGCUCCAAUUUCCACAAAUCAUCAAAAACUUCAACCACAACUUGUGAUGAAAAAUACCAUGCUCAAAUCCUCAAGCAAGACCAAGCCCGAGUCAACUCAAUCCACUCCCGCCUCAACCACAACAACAACAAAGACCCACUCACCCAAUCCGCCGCCACCACCCUCCCCGCCAAGUCUGGUCUCGUUAUCGGCACAGGGAACUACAUUGUCACCGUCAGCCUCGGUACACCCGCCAAGCAACUCUCCCUCGCCUUCGACACCGGCAGCGACCUCACCUGGACCCAAUGCAAGGCAUGUUCUGCUACUCAGUCUUGUUACAAACAGAGAGAGCCCAUCUUCAACCCUUUUCUCUCCGCCUCAUACAAAAAAAUCUCAUGUACCACCGCCGCGUGUACUCAGCUCUCAUCCAUCGGCGUCCAACACGGCUGCUCCGCCUCCACCUCCGCCUGCCUCUACGGCACCCGUUACGGAGACAACUCCUUCUCUGUCGGGGUCUUUGGCAGCGAAAAGCUUACAUUGACCCCGACGGACAUUUUUGAAGGUUUCCUCUUCGGCUGCGGCCUAAAGAACAAAGGCCUUUUCGGCGGCUCUGCCGGUAUGCUCGGUCUCGGCCGGAGCAACACCUCCAUCGUCGAACAAACCGCCAAUAAAUACAACCGGUACUUCUCCUACUGCCUCCCCUCCACCUCGUGCUCCACCGGCUACCUCAGCUUCGGCAAAGGCGGCAGAUCUUCCAAUGCCGUCAAGUUCACGGCCCUCUCCACCGUCCCCCUAGGCCACUCGUUUUACGGC
rnacentral:lncRNA from 1 species